rnacentral:rRNA from 1 species
GAUGAACGCUGGCGGCGUGCCUAAUACAUGCAAGUCGAGCGAACGGACGAGAAGCUUGCUUCUCUGAUGUUAGCGGCGGACGGGUGAGUAACACGUGGAUAACCUACCUAUAAGACUGGGAUAACUUCGGGAAACCGGAGCUAAUACCGGAUAAUCUUUUGAACCGCAUGGUUCAAAGGUGAAAGACGGUCUUUCUGUCACUUAUAGAUGGAUCCGCGCUGCAUUAGCUAGUUGUUAGGGUAACGGCUUACCAAGGCAACGAUGCAUAGCCGACCUGAGAGAGUGGUAGCCCACAUGGGAAGUGAGCCAGGGUCAUGACUCCUACGGGAGGCAGCAGUAGCGAACCGUACGCAAUGGGCGAAAGUAUGACGGAGCAACGCCGCGUGUGUUACGACGGCCCUCGGAUCGUAAAAAUCGGUUAUUGGUGAUGAACCUCUGUGGAAGGAGAUGUGCCGAGAGUGACGGUACCUAAUCAAAAAGCACCGGCUAACUACGUG